GUCACUAUUCCAGUCAUUCCGGUGCAUUUACAAAAAUUUAUCUGGCCUCUGGCAACACUGGUUUGGAAACACUUGGAAAUAAUGACAGUGACAGCAACAUUUAGUGCAAAAAUCAGAAUUGUUUUUAAUUAAAAUGAUAAUAUAAAAUUUUUCAUGUGUUUGUGUUGUGUUUUUAUAAAGUAUGUCUACCAGAUCACAGCUCACUAAAGAUCUAAAUGAAAGUAUUAAGUCUUCAGUUGGCAACAAAGUAAAAAUUCUAUUUAAAAAUGUGGUCCGACUGGAAACCAAAGGUGACAAGACUGAAAAUAGAGUUUUGGUAUUUUCACCAUGCAGGAUACUUCUACUUACAGCAAAAGUGCCAACCAAGAUCGACUCUCACUUUCAUUACUUGGAGAUCCAAGCCUUGGAAAGCAAAAGAGGAAAUCAGCUAAGCUUGACAGUCAAUGACAAAGUAUACUCCUUUUUGGUUGGGGAAGAUUCGAAAUGUAGCACGGAAGUUGACAAUAUGAUAGGAGCCCUCAACAAUGCCAUUAGAAAUAUUUUUCCUACUGUACCGUUACAACAUAUUAUUAGGAAGAUUGAAGUGAUUCCCAAUACGAGGCUUCAACAACUACGGGAUCUAGAAGCUAUAGCCAGCAGCAGAAGAGAAGUGGGUCCAUGCGGCGGAUUCUCGAACCAAUACGCUUGCAUGUGUGACUUUCACGGAAUGACGUAUAGAGAAGAAGUGGCGUGGGAUAUUGAUAAUAUUUACGUCUCAUUGAAUACUCGUGAGCUUAGCCUUAAGGACUUCGAAUACCUCGAUCAAAAGGAUUUAAUCCCAAUAAUCAGUGCUCUAGAAUACAACACGUGGUUUACAAAGUUACGGGCGAAUCAAGUGAAGUUAUCCCACGAUAACAUCGAUAGGAUUUUGCACGUUUUACGCAAGUCCCUCAAUCUGGAAGAAAUUUAUCUGGAUAACUUAGGUCUAAAGGCUGAUUUUUUGAACAAGCUGUCCAGUGUUCUUAAGCUUAAUCUUGGAUCCGCGUUACAUACUAUAGAUGUAUCGUGUAAUCCAAUAGAAGAUAAAGGUGCUACUUAUUUGGGAAGUUGUAUUCCCAAGCUCAAUAAAGGUCUAGUCCAUUUAAAUUUGUCUCAUUGCGGUUUAAGCUCAAAAGGAGUCAAUAACUUGUUUGCGGCGCUCUGCAACAACACAAGCAGUUUUACCACCCUAACGUACCUCAAUUUGAGUGGCAAUAAUCUAAAAGACGAUAUAAGUAAUUUUCACAACUUUUUGUCUCAACCGAACUCUCUUCAAUACAUUGACAUCUCUUCCACUGACAUCAUUCUUGAAAACCUUUUUGGUGCUUUAGUAAAAGGCUGUACGACUAAUCUAGUUCAUUUAAACAUUUCUAAAAACCCAUACAGUAGCAAAAAGAACAAAGAAGCUCCGAUAUCCUUCAAGCAAUUCUUUAGCACUACGCUUAAUCUCAAAUAUCUCAACAUGUCGCACUGUAAAUUGCCGCAAGAGGCACUAAAAAAUUUAUUGUUGGGAUUGGCCUGUAACGAAUUUACCAAAGAAAUGACGUUAGAUAUUAGCAAUUGUGGACUCGGCAGUCAGGGGGCACACGUUCUGGAAUCAUGUGUGCACGGCGUUAGGUGUAUCUCUAGUCUUGAUAUUUCUGAAAACAAUAUGGAUUCAGAUCUGUGCAAUGUUGUGAUAGCAAUAAGUAAAAAUAAGUCUCUAAAACAUUUAAACAUGGCCCGUAGUAUGAAAAAACACAUGUCGUUGAUCAUGGAUUCGGUAGUUCAGAUAGUUCAAGACGACGAAUGUCUUCUGCAAUCGCUGAUUAUACCCGACUGUAGGUUGCGCGGGGAUCUUUACAAUCUGUUGAAUGCUCUCGGAGAUAAUAAGUCACUGGAGGUGCUAGAUAUAAGCGGGAAUUUGAUCGGAGACUCUGGAGCUCGAUUGCUAGCGAAAGCGUUGCAGAUCAACAGCAAGCUGAAGAGUAUCAUUUAUGAUCGGAACAACAUUACUUUACAGGGUUAUCACGAUAUAGCAUAUGCUUUGGAGAGUAACUCAACAGUUCAAUACAUGCCGUUUCCAAUUUAUGAUAUUACACCGUGCAUGAAGGCCAAUGCUGAAAGAACAGAGUUAAUUACGAGGAAAAUUCAAGACUUGCUCAAUCGCAACGUUUCUCAGAAACAACAAUCCCUCAAAAGCUUUCCGAUGCAACCAGGGUUCUUGCUAACUUCAAAACAGCAGGCCCUGGAAAGAUUAGUACAACAAACCCAAGAUGCAAUCAAGAAUUUAACUAAUGAGUCAAUAGCUUCUACGAAUGAUGUGAAUCAUGCUACGGGCGUGAUACAAGAUGCUGAAAAUGCUAGGCAGUUAUUGGUGAGACUUCAGGAAGUGGCCCAACAUCGAGAUGAUAAACGGCCCAAUCCAGUAGAAGAGAGACUUCAGCAAGCAGCCUCUGACAUUCACGCCAGUAUUUGUGAUUACAUCCAGGCAACAACUGAGAAAAUGUUGAAGUGCUGCAAAGAACAAUGUCCCUAUGUCUUACACGAUGAAGAAACUGUCCAGGAAAUAAAGAGGGAGUGUAAGAAGAAGAAACAGAUUCCCUUUGAUUUUGUUACCACCUGUAUAAAGCAACAAUCUGGAGUGGACAUUAUGAAUAGAACGAGAGAGUUAAAUAUAAUGGUUGCCAACCAGCUGUCGGAGCAAGUUACCGACGAGGUUUACGAAGCGUUAAUGAGAAGUUAUAAGAUUUUAGUGGGUGAUGCAAGUGCAAUAAGAAUCGACUCACCUCCGAGGAGAUCUAGGUUAAGUAGUUCCGAUAGUUCCCGACAUGGUGCCAGUGAUAUUUCUAUCACGGACAGUAGUCAUCAAUCAGACUUGUCUCCUUUGAAGCUGGAAUAUUUGAAUUUAGCUACUCCACAUCUCUCCAUAAAGCGUAAGAGUCUACACGGACGCAAACUACGGCCUAAGUCAGUGGUAGAUAGCGUAGAAGGCAUCUCCGCUGACGACAUACCAAGUCUGUUACCAUCUCUUCCGGGUAAUUCCGAAGAAGAAGACUCAGUUACCGAAUUGCCCAACACCAGCCAUCAAUUACAACAUCUAGUCAAGGGUAUUUUCCUCAACAAAGGUCGACCCAGAAGAGCGAAGACCAGAGCUCCCACCCGACCUGUGGUAAAUCCUCCCGACACCACAGACUCGGUGUCUCAAGAUUUGGUCGAAGGUUUGGAUUCUUUCUUCCGUCCUGGAUCAGUCACACCGACAUCGGAUGAUUGCCAUUCGUUCCACACUGCCGGAAGUCCAAAUCACGAUUUUUCGUCGCCGACUCUCAGCGAAGAUCGCAAAACUCCGAAAUUGAGCAGAAACUCACCACUUUUAAGAGGUUUAAUGACACCUACACCCAGAUCUCGGUCCAUAGACAAUCUGGAAAAGUUCUCUCCUUCGUCUUUGAGGAAAAACAACGACACCACUUCGUCCCCAUUGACUAGAAGACUGACGGGCGAAAGCAUAGUUUCCAGAGACAGUAGUGAUGGUAGCAUUGCGGCAGAAUCCAGUUUCGACCAUUCACCGGGAAGUACAUUAUCUAAAGGGAUGUCUUCUGAUGGAUCCAAAGAAGAGUGUGACAAUAUCAAGCAACAGAUGAAACAGUUAAAAAGUUGUCCGUCAAUAGCUCCCAAGCCGAGACCUUGGUCUAUGGUGAAUUCCGAAGGCAAAUCUAGUGAUCUCGGCUUGCUGAGUGAUGGAUCGUCUCCUAACAACUCAACAGGAAACACUCCAGAUUCUGCAGAGGCUUUGGAUAGUUCGGAAUCUUCGUCUAUAGACAGACGACUUGCGAAGGAAGUUAAACUGAAAAGGAGCAGCGAUAACGUCUAAGAAGUCGGAACAAUCCGUCAACAACGGCGUAGGGGCAAGAAGAGACAGCAAUUAUAAUUGUAGAGAAGCGGAAGAUGCACACAUAGAAUAACAAUACAAAUUUGGGUUUUGUAGACAAUAAAAAAAUUAUUUUUGUCUUUUCAACCUAACUAUAGAUGAAGAAUACGUGCAGUUUGUACUGGAUAUUGAGGUAUGUAGGGCAGAGCCAAUAAUUUUUGAGUCCAAAAUAAACCAUUAUACCAAAGAAACCAUCAUAAAAGAAAGAAAAUGUAACUAAAAUCAAAGGAAAAAUAAUUUACGGGCGAUCUGUGGCCAGGAAGUGGAAGGGGGUGAGUUCUUGAGGGUAAAAACGGCUUUCCAAAAAAGCAAAAUGGAAAAAAUGAAAUUGCAAAGUUGUACCUACAAAAAAUUUUUUUCACAACAUUUUGUGAACUUCCGUUUUUAUUUCCCAAACAGACCAUCUAAUUAUCAAUCGAAAAUUCUCGACAUCAUUCACAGACCAACCUGUCCAUUGAACUGGCAAGAACCACACGUUAUCAUCGAGCAUUUAAUCAUGUUGCCCUUUGAGCACUUUUAAAUUCAUCUUUUAACAUCGACUUAGAGUCGCUACUAACAACAGUUUUUCGAAAUGUAAAUCAUAUUUCUCGAUGUCACCUAUUCUAUAAGGUUGCUAGUUUCAUCUACUAAACAGAACGCACUGAAGAUGAUCUGAUCUAGAUCGAAAUCGUUUUGCGAAUCCUUUUGGAUGACUUUUUAAUAGUUUUUCAAUAAACUUUUUAUACCAUUAUACAAACGAAGUUUUUACUUGUUUUGUAUGAUUAUUAAAUUAACCUUAAGAACAUCUG
rnacentral:misc_RNA from 1 species